AACGUAGGAGGCAAGCGUUAUCCGGAUUUACUGGGCGUAAAGCGCGUGUAGGCGGUUCAGAAAGUUGGAUGUGAAAGCUCCUGGCUUAACUGGGAGAGGUCGUUCAAAACUACUGAACUAGAGUAUGGGAGAGGGAGGUGGAAUUCCGGGUGUAGUGGUGAAAUGCGUAGAUAUCCGGAGGAACACCAGUGGCGAAGGCGGCCUCCUGGCCCAAAACUGACGCUCAGACGCGAAAGCUAAGGUAGCAAACGGG
rnacentral:rRNA from 1 species